rnacentral:lncRNA from 1 species
AGCAGCACACACACAUCUCUGCCCAUGAUUUGUGCACAUUGUGCCCAACUCAUCCCACAGGCCUUUGAGUUUAUUAAAAUAUGAGGCUACAUCUAAACAACCUUGAGAUGUGUGAGAGAGUUCCCUUUUUAAUUCAAAAAUUUUAGUCUUGUUAGGAGUACCAUAUCUUUUCUCAAUUUGGGACCUAUACUCAGUGCAGAAUCAGAAUACUGCACACUAUCAGCAAUUUGAGGAGAUAGGGAAGCGGUCAACCAGGAAAUGACCAUGUUAUUACAUCUAUCCCACAGCCUCNN